GAUAUCCAACGUCCAAUAUUUCCACACCAAAAGCUAAUACAAAAGAAAGAAACAACAGAAAAUAAAACCGCAAACUUCACAUCCCCUUGGUAUCAAGGAUCUUUGAAUCAUACAAAGAGACACUGGAGAAACAGAAAUUAGGAGUUCUCUUGAAGAAACAUGAAAACACAGAGAUUUACUGUCCUGCCAUCCACAAGUGUGAAAUCAGUUUCUCAUUGCUAUGUUCCUGACAGAAUAACAGCAGAAAGGUCGCACAUUUCUGAUUUGCUCACAGUCAGGU
rnacentral:lncRNA from 1 species